GUCCAUGUUUGCGAUGCCAGACCCUUCUCACGAUCGUAUCAUCCUUCACUUGGAAAGGGGCUCACUUCCAUCACCUUCUAUCUAUGCUUACUAUCCUAGCUCUGAUGAAUGGAAACUUAUUGUUUCCGAUUUUUCAGACUGGGAUCCGGUCUCAGCAGUUGCUGAUGGCGUGAUCUACUUUAAUUACUACAAAUGUCACACUCUCGUUGCCGCUUAUGAUUUGAAAAGCCUCAAGUGGUUGGACGUGCAUUUGUCAGAUACUGUUGUUGAUGGUUCUUAUAUACUAAUUAACCGCUUUAAGGAAUUGCUCUAUUUAGGUGACAACUCCUUUUGCUUGUCCGUUCACUCGCUUCAAAUCGCCAACUCAAACUCCAUUCGAGUGUCUUUCGUCAAGUUUACAAUUGAGCGGACAGAUUCAGUCAUUAAUAUCAUUCCCCAGUCAGCCAGCCACUUUAUCCUUCCACACACUUCCUACUUGCGUAACAUGAUCGCACUUUCUUAGAACUACUGAAACCAGGAAAGGAGCAGCAAUUACGUUUGAGAACUCAGAACUCAACUCACGAUGAAGAUUGAAGAAGCAGAGUCCAGCAAGACAGCAAGUUUAAUAUUAGCCUGUGACUCUUUAGGCACUUUUUCUGUUGUUUUUAAACGUAAACUUAGCAAGCAACUCAAAUUUUAAUUUCCGGAUGUUUUAAAUUUGUGAUUGUGAACUAGCUAAGUGUAGCUGGUCAGUGACUUGUGGUAAACAUGAAUUUUUAGGAUGUUUUUCUGUGA